GACAUCGUGGUGUAGUGGUUUGAGCCUUGGACUACAACUCUGGAGACCAGGGUUCAAUUCCUUGCUUGGCCA
rnacentral:tRNA from 1 species